AGAGUUUGAUCCUGGCUCAGAGCGAACGCUGGCGGCAGGCCUAACACAUGCAAGUCGAGCGCGUGUAGCAAUACACGAGCGGCAGACGGGAGAGUAACACGUGGGAACGCGCCCUUCGGUCCGGAAUAACCCAGGGAAACUUGGGCUAAUACCGGAUACGCCCUUACGGGGAAAGAUUUAUUGCCGAAGGAACGGCCCGCGUCUGAUUAGCUAGUUGGUGAGGUAAUGGCUCACCAAGGCGACGAUCAGUAGCUGGUCUGAGAGGAUGACCAGCCUCACUGGGACUGAGACACGGCCCAGACUCCUACGGGAGGCAGCAGUGGGGAAUAUUGGACAAUGGGCGCAAGCCUGAUCCAGCCAUGCCGCGUGGAUGAUGAAGGCCCUAGGGUUGUAAAGUCCUUUUAACGGGGAAGAUAAUGACGGUACCCGUAGAAUAAGCCCCGGCUAACUUCGUGCCAGCAGCCGCGGUAAUUC
rnacentral:rRNA from 1 species